rnacentral:rRNA from 1 species
UUCGGAAUCACUGGGGGUAAAGGGCGCGUAGGCGGCUUUAUAAGUCGGGGGUGAAAGCCUGUGGCUCAACCACAGAAUUGCCUUCGAUACUGUAGAGCUUGAGACAGGAAGAGGUAAGUGGAACUGCGAGUGUAGAGGUGAAAUUCGUAGAUAUUCGCAAGAACACCAGUGGCGAAGGCGGCUUACUGGUCCGGUUCUGACGCUGAGGCGCGAAAGCGUGGGGAGCAAACAGG